UAAACGACUCUCGGCAACGGAUAUCUCGGCUCACGCAUCGAUGAAGAACGUAGCAAAAUGCGAUACUUGGUGUGAACUGCAGGAUCCCGUGAACCAUCGAGUUUUUGAACGCAAGUUGCGCCCGAAGCCUUUUGGCUGAGGGCACGUCUGCCUGGGCGUCACAC
rnacentral:rRNA from 1 species